rnacentral:rRNA from 1 species
GAUGAACGCUGGCGGCGUGCCUAAUACAUGCCAGUCGAGCGAACGGACGAGAAGCUUGCUUCUCUGAUGUUAGCGGCGGACGGGUGAGUAACACGUGGAUAACCUACCUAUAAGACUGGGAUAACUUCGGGAAACCGUAGCUAAUACCGGAUAAUAUUUUGAACCGCAUGGUUCAAAAGUGAAAGACGGUCCUGCUGUCACUUAUAGAUGGAUCCGCGCUGCAUUAGCUAGUUGGUAAGGUAACGGCUUACCAAGGCAACGAUGCAUAGCCGACCUGAGAGGGUGAUCGGCCACACUGGAACUGAGACACGGUCCAGACUCCUACGGGAGGCAGCAGUAGGGAAUCUUCCGCAAUGGGCGAAAGCCUGACGGAGCAACGCCGCGUGAGUGAUGAAGGUCUUCGGAUCGUAAAACUCUGUUAUUAGGGAAGAACAUAUGUGUAAGUAACUGUGCACAUCUUGACGGUACCUAAUCAGAAAGCCACGGCUAACUACGUG